rnacentral:rRNA from 1 species
ACAGACGAUCACACCACGUUUAAAACACCGGUUCUCGUCCGAGCACUGAAGCUAAGCAGCCUGGGACCUGGUUAGUACCUACAUGGAUGAUCGGCUGGGAAUACUGAAUGUUGCAGAC